rnacentral:piRNA from 1 species
UAGUUUCCUGUAUAUGAAAGUUUGGG